AGGAGAAGCCCAUUUACAGGUUCAGCUCUUCAGUAAGUAGCAGCAACUUUGGAAGAUAAGUAACUGUUUGCCAUUGCCACUAAAGAAAGAUUCAGACACACUAAGCUUUGUUUCAAUUACAUAUGAAACAAACCAUAGUAUUGUGACACGAACAUGGAACUUCUCUCUGUGUCUGUCACACUCGGCAAAUGUCAAACAUUUUCCUUUCCGAAACCGAAGACAACCCAAAUUCAUGAACUUCCAAUAAACAUAAGAAUACCCAACAAAAGAAGUCACUCCAAUCUUUCUUCUUCUUCUUGUUCCUGUAAUUGGUCCAUUACAAGGGUAGCAGCAACACCAUACCCCUCCUUCAAUGCUUCCACCACACAGAACCGCCACUGGAUGGUGCUCAUGGACACGCCUCCUCAUGGGGUCAAUUCCAAGCCACAAGUCAUUGAUUAUUACGUGAACACUCUACAGACAGUUCUUGGCAGUGAGGAAGAUGCUCAGAUGUGUAUGUAUGAUGCUUCAUGCGACACCCACUUCGGUUUUUGUUGUGACAUUGAUGAAGAAAUAUCUUCCCAGUUGGCCAGUUUACCUGGGGUCUUAUUGGUUAGGCCUGAUCCGGAUUUCAACUCUUUGAAAAAGGACUAUAGUUUAUCAAGUGACCAGGCAGGCCAUCCGCCAAGAUUACAAACUAGAACCAGCAUGUUGUUUCCUGCUGGAAAUUCAAAGCAUUGGCUUGUUAGAAUGGACAAGCCUGGGGUUGAGGUUGUUACCAAGGCUCAGAUUGUCGAUUAUUAUGCUCAAAUUUUGACCAAGGUCAUGGGGAAUGAGAAGGAUGCACAGAUGUGUAUAUAUCACGUUUCCUGGAAAACAAACUUUGGUUUUUGCUGUGAACUUGAUGAGGAUUGUGCACAAGAGCUGGCUGGUGUGCCAGGUGUCUUAUCUGUUCAGCCAGAUAACAAUUUUGAGUCUGAAAAUAAAGAUUAUCAAGGUAUUAAGUCAGAAAAUAGUUGGAAUGCGUCCAAUUCUUCUGGCACAAGUCAGGAAGCUCCCUUGAAAACAAAGAAACUUUUUGUGACAGGGCUAUCAUUUUAUACAUCUGAGAAAACUUUACGCGCAGCAUUUGAAGGCUUUGGCGAGUUAGUUGAAGUUAAAGUUAUUAUGGAUAAAAUUUCAAAAAGGUCCAAGGGUUAUGCAUUUGUUGAAUACACCACAGAGGAGGCUGCAAGUGCAGCACUCAAAGAGAUGAAUGGCAAGAUUAUCAAUGGCUGGAUGAUAGUGGUAGAUGUUGCUAAACCUAACCCACCAAGAUACAACAGGAAUCAUGUCACUUCAUGAAGUUGACAAAAAUCGGUACUCUGACCAGCUCUGCUGUGUGGAUUUAGUUCCUUUGAAAAGUUUGUGCUGUCAUCCACUCAUCCUUUAUGCUUUCAAGAUAUGGGAGAUCAAAGCAAUGCAUACUUCAUGGCUUAUCCUUCCCCUUUACCUCCAUUCUGAUUUCAGACUUGUCUUCGGUAUGCAAGCAGGUAUCUAACAAUUCAAUCAUAUUAACUAGAUGUUUUAGGCAGUUAGGACUACACUUUCCCUUGUGAGUGAAAAUACAAACCAAUAUUGGCCAGGAUUCCUACAGAUUGUGUGAGAGUGAGCCUAAGGCAUGCUGCAGUUGACUAGCAAUAUUGUAGCCUCUUCAGGAAUCUGGCUUCCUGUUAAGGAUCAGAAAAGAAUGGUGAAGUUUGGGAUCUGGGUUCUUAUUGUUAUUCAAGCAUUAUUUUAAUACCAACAUGAAUCGAUUAUGAGAAUACCAAGUUGACUUCCUAUAUACCAGGACAAGUCUUACAACUGAGAUAGGUGUUUUAAGAAAAUGGUAGUGGAAGUUGUAACAUAAUAUAUUCUGAAUGAGGAAUGAAGCGUUAGCAAACAUUUCCAUAUUCUCUUCGAUUAUAUUCAAAAUUAUGUCAUA